rnacentral:rRNA from 1 species
UACAGAGGGUGCGAGCGUUGUCCGGAAUCACUGGGCGUAAAGGGCGCGUAGGUGGCGCCCCAAGUCCGUGGUGAAAGCUCGAUGCUCAACAUCGAGUCGGCCACGGAAACUGGGGGGCUCGAGCACUGUAGAGGCAGAUGGAAUUCCGGGUGUAGCGGUGGAAUGCGUAGAGAUCCGGAAGAACACCGGUGGCGAAGGCGGUCUGCUGGGCAGUAGCUGACACUGAGGCGCGACAGCGUGGGGAGCAAACGGG